rnacentral:lncRNA from 1 species
AUGGCCAGGGAGGCCGUCCCUGAACUCUUUGCCUGUCAUGUUACUACCACUGAGACCAUUCAAGCUUACUCUGCCUGCUCUGUCAUAGCCAGGUGGCCUCUCCAUGUCUCUGCUCCACCAUGGCCUCCAGACCUGUGGUGGUCUUCUGCUUUGCAGGCUUUACCUUGGUCACGUGCUCCGCUCUGGUCGCCUGCUCCACCGGCUCCUCCGUGGUGGUCAUCUGCUUGCCGCCUGCCCUGGUGGUCUUCAGCUCUGCUCUGGCUUCCAGACCUGCUAUUGCUCCACGGCCCAGCACUGCCACCCUUAGAGGGAGGAAUAUGUGACGUGGGCUUUGGGUUUUGUUUCAUGUUCAUUCUUUUCAUAUCUUUUAUUUUGUUUCGUUUUUUUCAUAGUCAUGGUUCCCGUCUUGUCAUGUGUUUCCCUUGCCCUCAUGUGAUCCUGCUAUUGGUCCCUUUGUUCUAUGUGUCAUGUUCUGAUUGGUUGUCUAGUUCCCAUUGUCCGUUGUCUAGCUUUGUUCAUGUAAUCCACUGUUUGGUGAGUUUGUUCAUGUUUUUGCCAAGCCGAUUGUUGUUCAUUGUGUUUUUGCUCUCUUUUGAAUUGUAUUAAACUUCACAUGGGUUCUCAUUCAACUUGCCUUCAGUGGACAUUCUAUAUAAUUAUACAUCAUAAUAUUUGUUGUAUUGUCUUUAUACUGAUUUAAAAACAAAUGCAUUACAAAAAAGAAUUGUCUGGAUGCAUUACAGUAAUGAGGAUUAUGGGGCAAAUUGGUAUUAAAAUUAUGUUAUGCAAUGCAACCCUUAAUGGUCAACAGGCUUCAUGUCAUUUUAUAUAAAUGUUUCUUUUGGUUCUAGGAUGAAAUAUGACCUCGACACGUGUUUUUUAAAAAAAAAAAAUUUGUAUUAUCGUACCACUGUUUAGUCAGACUGACUUUAAUGUAUCUUGCAGAGCUACUUAACACAGAGUGACUCUUCAUGCUCACUAAUUAUGGUUACAGAAAGAGGUUGUUGUUGGGCAAGAACUACUGGAAACCCCUGACCUCUAUCAGGGGAGGUGCCUCCAAAAGAGAAAGAAGGAAAUACAGUACAGUGACGUGCUAGGUCACUUAUGGGUUGUUUUAUCUCUACUGCAAUGUGGAAGAGAAUUAAAUUCCUUGGGGAUAAAUGAAGCCAUUAUUUAUGGAGGGAACGAGUGAAAUAGAGCAAGCUGCCAUACUAGAGAGAGUCCAUCCUAGUAUUCCAGCUAAUUUGAAAACAUGUCUCAUGCACAUCAGAACACAUCAGAACACAUCAGAUAGAGCUUUGGUAACUGAUUACACAAACACAACACUGAAAUGCCCAAACAAACAGGAAAAAGAGGGUAAUGAUUGGGAUGCAAUAGAGGAAGAAAUUUACUACAUUUCUCACAGUUGCUGGUCAUACUUUUUGGAAGUGCAAUGGUGAAAAACCACCAC